rnacentral:lncRNA from 1 species
CUGGACAUCUAGCGGACUGUAGGGAGAUAUUAGCUGAAUUUUUUAAAAAGUGUAUUGGAAAGAAUCGCUUACGGUGCCUCUAAAGUGUAACGUCACCCCCAGCUGUCACACUAACGGGCUGGGGGGCGUGCGUCACCCAUGACGAUAAAUCCCAAAGUUGACUGUACGUCAGCAUCGGCAUUACAAGUUUGAAGAGGAUUUUAAACAGUAGCGUAGCCUACUAUAUGGCGUAUCCAUUUAUAACCCAUAAAAUGCCGAUUUAUAAUAAAUGUUGUCAUUAUUAACACCAGCAUUAUUAACACCAGUACAUUUACAACUCAAAAACACAUGUAAGGGUGCAGUUACACUUCAAGUGUAUGGUCUCACUGUCCCAGCGACCCCAAUAUAAUCGAAUCAUCGUUUAACCUCGUAGAUGGGCUAUUAAUAACUCCUAUCCACCCAUGCACACUAGCAACUAUUUUUGUCUCAAGACUGUUGAGCUAGGAGGGCAGAAUGACAUGCAACCAGAGACACAACAGUUUAGACUGUUCAAGUCACUGUUAACGAUAACGGUAUUUUUUAUAAUGAUGUUCGGAUCUUAGCCCUACAUCUGAAAAACAGUUAGCCAACUGUAAUAACGGGAUCAGGAUUUCAUUCAGGCCUAUCUGUAAUUCAACCAUUCAUAAGGCAAUAGUUAGCCAACAACACCCAGAGCACUUCUCCAGAUGAGUCUGCUGAAGACAUAUUCUGACGGGAUGCUGAAACAAUCUCCUUCUUCACGUCCUGUGUUUCUCAGUGAUGGGGAUCUGACAGAGAUUCAGCUGCACUCAGUCGAAUCUAUAAAUGACUUGCACAGAAACCACUCUGAGCAACCUCAAAAAGUCAAGCAGGCGAGUACAGUGAGCUCCCUUUCUGAGGUGCUGCUGCAGCAUCUGGGCCAGUUUCAGGAGGUGUCCCAGCUCAAACACAAACUGCAGCUCCUGGAGAGGAACCUCAGCACCACAGGACACUGAUACCAUACUCUGGCAAUCUCCUCUCCAACCACACAAGACCACACAGUCUGCAGUACAACCUGCCCACCAGCUCAGUCUACCAUACUCACAACACUAUUCAAUCUCUGUAACCUGCCCCCCAGCUCAGUCUACCAUAUUCACAACACUGUUCAAUCUCUGUAACCUGCCCCCCAACUCAGUCUACCAUACUCACAACACUGUUCAAUCUCUGUAACCUGCCCUCCAGCUCAGUCUACCAUAUUCACAACACUGUUCAAUCUCUGUGUAGACAUCUGAUGAUCAUUACCGCCUUAGGCCGGGGUGGAAGAUUUGUGCCUAACUGUACACUGGUGUGUGUGUGUGUUUUGUGCCUAACUGUACACUGGUGUGUGUGUGCGUUUUGUGCCUAACUGUACACUGGUGUGUGUGUGCGUUUUCUAACUACUAGGACCAUGCUCUCUCUUGGAGCUACUUUUGCAUUCAUGUUAUACAGUGACUUGUGGUGUCCCUUUGAUAAUAAACUGUAGAAAAUACUGGGUGGUUUGUGCUGU